rnacentral:rRNA from 1 species
UACAGAGGGUGCAAGCGUUAAGCGGAAUUACUGGGCGUAAAGCGUGCGUAGACGGUUAUGUAAGUCAGGUGUGAAAGCCCCGGGCUCAACCUGGGAAUGGCAUUUGAGACUGCAUAGCUAGGGUGCGGAAGAGGGAAGCGGAAUUUCCGGUGUAGCGGUGAAAUGCGUAGAUAUCGGAAGGAACAUCAGUGGCGAAAGCGGCUUCCUGGUCCAGCACCGACGUUCAGGCACGAAAGCGUGGGGAGCAAACAGG